rnacentral:rRNA from 1 species
GACGAACGCUGGCGGCGUGCUUAACACAUGCAAGUCGAACGGUAAGGCCCCUUCGGGGGUACACGAGUGGCGAACGGGUGAGUAACACGUGAGCAACCUGCCCUUGACUCUGGAAUAACAGUUGGAAACAGCUGCUAAUACUGGAUAUUCAUCGUCUCCUUCCUGGGGGGUGGUGGAAAGCUCCGGCGGUCAGGGAUGGGCUCGCGGCCUAUCAGCUUGUUGGUGAGGUAAUGGCUCACCGAGGCUUCGACGGGUAGCCGGCCUGAGAGGGCGACCGGCCACACUGGGACUGAGAUACGGCCCAGACUCCUACGGGAGGCAGCAGUGGGGAAUAUUGCACAAUGGGCGCAAGCCUGAUGCAGCAACGCCGCGUGCGGGAUGACGGCCUUCGGGUUGUAAACCGCUUUCAGUAGGGACGAAGGGUGACUGACGGUACCUACAGAAGAAGGACCGGCUAACUACGUG